rnacentral:tRNA from 1 species
GGGUUAGUAACUUAAUUGGUAAAGAGCUUUCUUGUCACGAAAGCAGAUAUCGGUUCGAACCCGGUCUAACUCG